rnacentral:rRNA from 1 species
AUAUCAAUAAGCGGAGGAAAAGAAACUAACAAGGAUUCCCCUAGUAACGGCGAGUGAACCGGGAUGAGCUCAACUUGAAAAUCGGCCUGGCGGUUCCCGUCGGUCGAAUUGUAGUCUAUAGGAGCGACACCAAUAUACAUGAGGGGGACAAGUGUAGUGAAAACUGCCAUCAAAGAGGGUGUUAAUCCCGUCCGCGCUUCCUUGUGUAUGUGUACGGUUCGUUUCCUUCGAGUCGAAUUGCUUCGA